rnacentral:tRNA from 1 species
GUUAAUCUAGUUUAUUAGAAUGCUAAGUUGUGGUCUUAGUGGUGGGCUGCAUUACCCGAUUGACU